UACGUAGGUGGCACGCGUUGUCCGGAUUUACUGGGUGUAAAGGGCGUGUAGGCGGGAUAGCAAGUCAGAUGUGAAAUUCCGGGGCUUAACCCCGUCGCUGCAUCUGAAACUGUUAUUCUUGAGUGUCGGAGAGGAAAGUGGAAUUCCCAGUGUAGCGGUGAAAUGCGUAGAGAUUGGGAGGAACACCAGUGGCGAAGGCGGCUUUCUGGACGAUAACUGACGCUGAGGCGCUAAAGCGUGGGGAGCAAACAGG
rnacentral:rRNA from 1 species